rnacentral:lncRNA from 1 species
AUGAAGCUGCAGGAGCAGGAACCUGGUCAGCCCUUUCGGUCAGGUGUCCACCCCUUCUCCCUCCAGGAACGAGCAGGGAGCGGAGCCAGUUGUAGAAACAUGGGUACGGGGUUACCUUACAACGGGCGAGAUAAAAAUAAAUGCAAGAAUAUCUUUUUCUUGGAAAAUGUCCAACUAAUAAUAUGUGAAAUUAGAAAGAGUUACCUUACAACUGGCGAGAGUUCUGGAGAGAAAUUCUCAGAAACGGGGCAUGUUGUUAGGGUCCUUCCCUUAAGAUUUUGUCUUAAAUAUGUGGAAUACUCGCAGGGAGGAAAAUGGGACGGGUGGAGUAGAACAGGUGAUUUUUGCUUUGGUAGAGGAUUUUCUGUUAACCACUUUACCUGAACAUCUAAGAAUCGUUUCAAUUACUCCAGAAGAUAUCAAAAGCAAAACUCCAAAAUUUCCCCAUAAUUUCUUCUAAAAAGGAUAAUCUAAUGCCACCCCCUUCAGUUACCACAGGAUGCUGUCCCAAGAAUGCUCAGAAGGGUUCCUGGUCCCUUAAAAGAGCAAAGGUGGGGGGAUGGAGUGUGAAGGUGCGUGGGGAGGACAAGAGGUAUGCAGGAGGGUGGAGGGGACCUGCUUUGACUCAGGAGGUCACACAGCAGAUCAGCGAAUGACAGAGGAUGAAGUAGGCAGUGAGAAAUGGAAAGGAGAUCAUAAAUGAAACUACCAUAUAAACAUGAUAAGCCAACAGUACAAACGUGAUAAGCCAACUAAAAUCAGCUUCUUAUUUGAAAUUUAAAUAUUAGAAUUUCACUGCUGUCUACAGCUGAUGCAGAAAGUUUUCCAAAGACCACACAUGUGGUGUUGGUACAUUUGGAAUAGCAAUUUGCCAAGGGAAAGUUGAGCUUCUUAGACUCAGCAUACAAUGAUUAAGCGCAGGAAAUCAAAUAGCGGGUUGAAGCCAAAUUUUACAUGAGCUUCAAGUAUAAGCUAUUAAAAGAGUCUGAAAAGUUAUGUUUUUUAUUUUAAAAUGCAUAACGGCAUUAUCCAAUUCAAUAAAUUCUCCAUGAGUAGUCA